rnacentral:lncRNA from 1 species
CGUCGGAACAAGUGGAAGUGGUGUUAAUUCAUGAAGACAUGUAUGGUUCUUUUUUUUAUCAUGGAAGACUCUUAAUUUGGUACUUUUCUACCUUCAAUAUUCUAUGUAUUGUUUGAGUCUAUUGGUUGAAUUGUGCUCUUUGAAAAAUAUAUUAUAUCUAAUAGUGUAUGGCUAGUAAGAUUUUAAGCCUUAUAUUAGUUAGCCCGGGGCGGAGCCCGUUUCUGGAUCCGCCACUGG